AAAUAAGAAGCGAUAAUUGCAUUCAGUUUCGACCUGACCUUAGAUGAAAUACCACAUCCUUAUUUG
rnacentral:tRNA from 1 species